rnacentral:rRNA from 1 species
UACGUAGGUGGCAAGCGUUGUCCGGAAUUAUUGGGCGUAAAGCGCGCGCAGGCGGUCCUUUAAGUCUGAUGUGAAAGCCCACGGCUCAACCGUGGAGGGUCAUUGGAAACUGGGGGACUUGAGUGCAGGAGAGAAGAGUGGAAUUCCACGUGUAGCGGUGAAAUGCGUAGAGAUCAGGAGGAACACCCGUGGCGAAGGCGGCCCUCUGGCUCGACCCUGACGCUGAGGCGCGAAAGCGUGGGGAGCGAACGGG